GUUAUUGUACAAAAUUAAAAAUGCUACCAUCUAUGUGGUUUAUGGUUAAUGAUAGUAAACAAUUAUAUAUACAUGUAUCUACACUCUUAAUAUAAAUGCAUUAUAUCAGGGUUUUUUUGGUCUUAAAACCGGUGGAUUAUUGCAGGUUUUCCUGUUGUGUCCUUUCUCUUGGCACCUGCUGCAUUUGUUUUGAAUUUUGAUUUUAGAUCCGUGUUUGUACCUCCCUACUUUUGGUCUUCCAGCUGGUCUUCUUGUGUUUGGUGGUUUUACAACCAUGUUUCUUACUUCUUCUGGUACAUCCCAGUUUUCUUUGUCAUCUAACGGCAUAAUUGAAGCUGAAUAUGUGUUGACCAAAGUUGUUUUAUAGUAUUUUUUUGAGCAAAAAUCAUAACAGCUCAAAUUUCGCUUGCUCAUAACAGCAGCAGCAUGCGGACAUGGCAUCUCAUGGUACUGAAAUUUUCCACAUGUGCAUGUCCUUUUGUCGAUGUCC
rnacentral:lncRNA from 1 species